GAGUUUGAUCCUGGCUCAGAUUGAACGCUGGCGGCAGGCCUAACACAUGCAAGUCGAGCGGCAGCGACUUAACUGAACCUUCGGGGAACGUUAAGGGCGGCGAGCGGCGGACGGGUGAGUAAUGCCUGGGAAUAUGCCCUGAUGUGGGGGAUAACUAUUGGAAACGAUAGCUAAUACCGCAUAAUCUCUUCGGAGCAAAGAGGGGGACCUUCGGGCCUCUCGCGUCAGGAUUAGCCCAGGUGGGAUUAGCUUGUUGGUGAGGUAAUGGCUCACCAAGGCGACGAUCCCUAGCUGGUCUGAGAGGAUGAUCAGCCACACUGGAACUGAGACACGGUCCAGACUCCUACGGGAGGCAGCAGUGGGGAAUAUUGCACAAUGGGGGAAACCCUGAUGCAGCCAUGCCGCGUGUGUGAAGAAGGCCUUCGGGUUGUAAAGCACUUUCAGUAGGGAGGAAGGUAGUGUAGUUAACACCUGCACUAUUUGACGUUACCUACAGAAGAAGCACCGGCUAACUCCGUGCCAGCAGCCGCGGUAAUACGGAGGGUGCGAGCGUUAAUCGGAAUUACUGGGCGUAAAGCGCAUGCAGGCGGCCUGUUAAGUUAGAUGUGAAAGCCCGGGGCUUAACCUCGGAAUUGCAUUUGAAACUGGCAGGCUAGAGUCUUGUAGAGGGGGGUAGAAUUUCAGGUGUAGCGGUGAAAUGCGUAGAGAUCUGAAGGAAUACCAGUGGCGAAGGCGGCCCCCUGGACAAAGACUGACGCUCAGAUGCGAAAGCGUGGGGAGCAAACAGGAUUAGAUACCCUGGUAGUCCACGCCGUAAACGAUGUCUACUUGGAGGUUGUGGCCUUGAGCCGUGGCUUUCGGAGCUAACGCGUUAAGUAGACCGCCUGGGGAGUACGGUCGCAAGAUUAAAACUCAAAUGAAUUGACGGGGGCCCGCACAAGCGGUGGAGCAUGUGGUUUAAUUCGAUGCAACGCGAAGAACCUUACCUACUCUUGACAUCCAGAGAAGCUUGAAAAAAUUCGAGUGUGCCUUCGGGAACUCUGAGACAGGGGCUGCAUGGCUGCCGUCAGCUCGGGUUGUGAAAUGUUGGGUUAAAUCCCGCAACGAAGGCAACCCUUAACCUUGUUUGCCAGCCUUCGGGUGGGAACUCCAGGGAAACUGCCGGGGAAAAACCGAAGAAAGGGGGGACCA
rnacentral:rRNA from 1 species